rnacentral:misc_RNA from 1 species
UGCACAUGAAAAUAGUGCACUUUCAUCUCAGUCACAAUCAUAGGGGGUGUCCAUCUAUGAAUUUAGCUUGUGAAUUCAACAUGAAUGUGAGAAGAGAGUGCAUUAUUUUCAUGUGCACCAUGGAUUCUGAAUAAUUCCUCUGUUGGGCUGGCUAGUUUGCGUAUCUUUAUUGUUGAUGCAUGGAAGGCAAUCUGUUAAGGAAUUUAUUGGUUAUUCCAUUCAUAAUUCAUGAAGUUACUGAAUUAUAACUCAUGUUCUAGGUUUGGAAAGUUCUG